GGUCUUCCUAGAAUGAGUCCAUUGUAAAGUAAUAGAAUUUCUACGAGAAAAGAUCUACUAACUAUAUACCAGACAUGAUGGAUAUCCAAAAUUGGGCAUUUGGUCUAGUGGUAUGAUUCUUGCUUUGGGUGCAAGAGGUCCCGAGUUCGAUUCUCGGAAUGCCCCAAUAACCCUGCUUUUUUCUCCUUUUGGUUCCCAUAUCCUAAAAUAUUUUAUUAGAAGAAUCUGUACUGAAGUCAACUUUAAGAGCAUAAUACAGAACUUUAGAGACUUA